GAAUAAAAACAACACACAUUAAAAUAGAUCUAAAUAUAAUAUUCGUUAACCAGUGUUCAUCUCAUGUUAUCAGAAAGGCUAAACAGUUCAGAAUAGGUUGAUUUAUGGUCAUUUGCACGAAUGCACCACCUGCUGGCACACUGAUUAAUACUCCUCAUUGGCAACAGAGAGGUAUCAGGCUUGAUGAGUGGAGUGUGGCUGCAUUAGACCAAACAAAUCCAGGUGGUGGUGUGCAUUUUUGACAUACUUUUGUGUUGAAGCACACCCAACCAUCAAUAAAGAAGACAAACUCAUCAGAGUCUCCAGCCUUGUGUCCUGACCGUCACUCAGUGGCGAGCGUCAAACAUCCAUCAGCUUGCAACUGAACUUUGAGAUCCCUUAUCUGCACAUGUGCAGGGAGGGAAGAAAUGGAGCACAAAGGAGCAUUGAGUGGACAGGAAGCAGAGUGCAGCACAUCGCUUCAGCACGUUGCUCAAGGUUGUGAACAGCAAGGCACAAGUUCUCUGGAUCCUGUUCCUUGGCCAUUCUCAAUUUCUCCAGGAUGUCGUCUUCCACUGGGUCCAGGCUUUUUCAGCGUAGAUCUCCGGAUGGAGCUCGUCAUGGGAUGGAGAUGGGUAUUCUUUCAGCAGGGUGUCGACCUUUGACAGG